CGGGGAAGGUGUACAAGUGAUUGAUUUAGUUAGGAAUAUAGGAAAAUAUCUGCCUUCGGGAGGCAGGGGCCGGAGGUUCAAAUCCUCUCACCCCGACCA
rnacentral:tRNA from 1 species